rnacentral:rRNA from 1 species
UACAGAGGCCUCAAGCGUUGUUCGGAUUCAUUGGGCGUAAAGGGUGCGUAGGUGGCUUGUUAAGUUGAAGGUGAAAUCUCGGGGCUCAACUCCGAAACUGCCUUUAAUACUGGCGAGCUCGAGGAUUGUAGAGGAGAAUGGAAUUCACGGUGUAGCAGUGAAAUGCGUAGAUAUCGUGAGGAAGACCAGUGGCGAAGGCGAUUCUCUGGGCAAUUCCUGACACUGAGGCACGAAGGCCAGGGGAGCAAACGGG